CAGACUCCACAAAGCAGAAGGCAGAAUUAAUCCCUAAAAUUUAAACUACCGGUGAGGCGGUAAGGGGUGAACAGCCAGUCCAACUGCAAAAAAUCCAACGAAAUUAGCAGACAACAGGUUGGGCUUCUUUUUCACUAUUAUUAUUUGAGUUUGUAAGGUUUUCUGAUCAGAUCCUGACCUUGCUUUGCCUUUGAGUAUUGAUUUCUGAUCUCUGGUUGGUUCCAUAAUUGGUUGCAGCGUUCCAGACUUCACCAUUGAAUAUUUGAAUUAAACUUAUUAAAGCUAAUUUCAAGUUUUCGUAAAUCAGUAAUUAGGAUUGAAAGUUUUCUAAUUUGGAUUUGUCAGUAACUUAUUAAUGUUUUGGAAAUGGGAUUCUAAUUUUGUUGAUAUGUUGAUUCAAUUGCCAUUGAUUCAUAUAGAAAGAAUUUACAAGUGACUGGGACAAGGAUUUGAAAAGCUUAUGCACAAGCAAUUUGUGAUUUUGAUUCUUGGCAACAUGUACUUUCCCUCUCUCUGUAGAUAAGUGUUUGUGCGUAGAUAAUCUUGAUCUGUAAGCACUUAUGAAAUCAUAUUAGGUAAUGAAGCUGCAAAAAAAUUACAGAGUUCUUGCAUUAAACUUGAAAAAAGUAUGUUGGAAAAACUUCAUUUUAGUAGUUUGAUUACUAAUUUUACAUCUCCAAAUGUGAGAAAGUUAAAUUUUUUGCUAGCCUAAUCUUUUGAGUUGU
rnacentral:lncRNA from 1 species